UAUGCAUGAAUACAUAAUACACAAUUGGAUAAAUAGAGAGAGAGAGGGAGAGAAUGAAUACAUACAAUAUAUACAUAGUCUAAAUAAAUAUUAUAGAUAGAUAUAAUAUAUACAUAAAUUACAUAAUAAGUAAUAUAAACAUAAUAAAUAAAUAAUACACAUAUUCUAAAAAAAUAUAUAUACACACAUUUACAGACUGAGCCCUACAACCUACUGCCACCUGAAUGCUGCUGUGCCAAUCCUUCGAUUGUAUUUCGAAGAUGGAUCUGACCUCCGUCCAAACCUCCGGCUUUCACGACAGUCCAUCAUGUCCCUCAUCGCUGCUUUGAAGUCAGAUUCUGACCAUGGCUGGGAAAAAGAUGUUGAGGUGCUGGUGUUUCUCUACUGGCUGGCCCACGCAGCAUCGUACAGGCUGGUGUCACUGGGCUUUGACAUCCCAAAGUCCACGGUGCAUGACAUUGUGCCCAGAAUCAGCAGGGCAGUCAUCAGAAUUCUGAGGAGGCUGAUCGCUUUCCCGACCCUGGAUGACCUGGAGGCAGGUUUUGCGCAGCUGGCUGGGUCUCCAGUUUUCCACAUGGUAGCUGGUGCAAUAGACGGAUGCCACAUCCGGAUCAAGCCACCAGCAAGUGAUGCCCCAUGCUAUUGUAAUAGGAAGCUGUUCCACUCUGUUCAGCUGCAGGCCAUCACUGACCACGAGGGGAAGUUCCUCGUUAUCCCGGGUCUGAAAAGCGCAAUAUCAAGACAGUCAAUUACAUUCAUUAGAUUACUGCAUUACUAUGACAUGGAAAAACAAUAGCAUGAUCAAAUCAUGCGCUAAUAAAAAUUUUGGGGUGAACUAAUAAUAAAAAAAAAUCUUACUGUAUAUUUUUGUUUUAGGUUCUCCCGCUUUCUUUUGACUUGAGCGGCAGAAAUCAUGGCAUUGUGCACAGAAUCAGCAGGGCAGUCAUCAGUGUUUUGAGGAGGCUGAUCGCUUUCCUGACCCCGGAUGACCUGGAGGCAGUGGGGGCAGGUUUUGCGCAGCUGGCUGGGUCUCCAGUUUUCCACAUGGUAGCUGGUGCAAUAGACGGAUGCCACAUCCGGAUCAAGCCACCAGCAAGUGAUGCCCCAUGCUAUUGUAAUAGGAAGCUGUUCCACUGUUCAGCUGCAGGCCAUCACCGACCACGAGGGGAACUUCCUCCAUAUCUUCGUUGGAUAUCCCGGGUCUGGAAAGCACAAUAUCAAGACAUUAGCAUUAGCUAAAAAACAUUAGCAUCAUCAAAUCAUGAACUAAUAAAAAUUUUGGGGUUAACUAAUUAAAAAAAAUAAUCUUACUUUAUAUUUUUGUUUUAGGUUCUCCCACUUUCUUUUGACUUGAGCAGCAGAAAUUUUGCCCUCAAGUCCCUGCUCUGUCACAAUAAAUGCACAGAAAUCAAGCAUAAAAAGAAGGCAGUAAGACCUUUGCUUGAAGUGUUAGUAUUUACUACGUUCAGUGUCAACAGCACCUGAAUAAAAGUACAUUUGACAUAACUUGUUUACUUACUCAAAACCUCUGAUGGCAGCAUUACGCUUUCCAGUGAAGAGGGCUUCAUCAGCCACUCUCCACUGAAUAAGGAGCUGAGUGUGUUCAUCAGUCCCUGUAAUGUCAAAGCAGUAACCAUUAGUCAUUAUCAAUCCAUUAAUGCUACAUUGACAAGCUGUGGCAUAUUUAUUAACAGUAGCUUAGUAUGUAGCUAACAA
ensembl:lncRNA